ensembl:lncRNA
AUUAGGAAUCCACAUGAGCCUAGAAAACCCAAGUGACUACAACUGACAGUGAAGACCAAGCCACAGUGGGCACCAGCACCACCACUCCACAACAGACCACCCCAUCCCAGAGGGCUGGGUGCGGGGACCAGGCACCCGUCCUGCAGAAGGACUCCAAGUUUGCAUCACGCGGCCCAACAUCUAGGACCACACCCACCAAGAGAAGACAACAUAGCAGAUGUUACUGAAGCCCACAGAUGACUCUUCUGCAUGAUCAAAAUGUGUGAUGCUUCAGUAAAUGCAGAAAUUCCUCCAGUUGCCAUAAGACACUGUAUAAAUGUAAUGCUGCCUUCAAGCUCACCGACAGCAAUCAUAAUUACUGGAGUCGUCGAAAAUUUCCAUGCGCCUCAAAGAAGUGACGUCACAGAGCCAGAGACAAUAACGACGUUAACAAGGCCAUCGUUUAAUAAAAUAAUGCAAUAAUGUAUAUUUUAUAAAAUUACGCUAUUUACUACAUUGUUUACUGUAACGUGUGUAAUCCAAUCCCUACUCGUUGUCAUACUAGUAGGCUAUAGAUUAUUUGCCUAUAUUACUAUAAACCUAUCGCAUCUCAGCGCACAAUGUGUUUUGUCAUGCUUUUUGAAAACAACUUCUGUCCAGGAUAUCACGUCUCUCUUGAUAAACAUAAUAAAAGAAGAGCGACCAGAGAAAACUACUUUUGUUGACUGUGAAUGUUGUUAUUUCCGGACAAUGCACUUCAAUGAGCGGCAGGUCUUCUGUUAUGCGGUUAACGUAAACACUGACUGUUUUCAUGCACUGUUUCCAGGUGACAGCUU